rnacentral:lncRNA from 1 species
GAAAUAUGUAGCUCUAUAGAAUAUUUACCUGAUUGGGAAAUGUAAAUGUAUAUAGUUUUAUUACACUGUAACAAAAGUUAAAAAUAGUUUAGGCAGGUGCAUACUAAAUAUCUUUUUUAAAAUUUUCUUUAGUGGUUCUGGGGAUCAAACCCAGGGCCUUGUGCCUCCUAAACACUGCUGUACCACUGAGCUACACCCCAAAUUCUUCAAUUUCUGUAUGUAUCUUAGAAAAAGUAAGGAGCUUGGCAUGGUGGCACAUGACUGUAAUCCUGGUGGCUUGGGUGACCGAGGCAGGAGGAUCACGAAUUCAAAGCCAGCCUGAGCAAAAGCAAGGCACUGAGCAACUCAGUGAGACACUGCCUCUAAAUAAAUAGAGCUGGGGAUGUGGCUCAGUGAUUGAGUGUCUCCGAGUUCAAUCCCCCGUACUCCUCCGCAAAAAAAUGAAACUGACUUUAAAAUCAUAACAUACUAGUAAUUUGUGCAUUUGUAAUGGUAAAAGAGAAUGGCCAUAGAAAAAAAAAAAGAAUGCUUAACUUGGAAUUCUGGUUCUGAGAGUGGUGGAUUUUCAAGUCCUGUAGGAAGCAGUAUUGUGAGAGGUUAGUGACCCAAUUUAGAUGUCUCUAAGAACAAACUUCCCUUCCAUGUAUUCUCUUCAGAAAGAAAUCACAAAAGCAUUUCUCACCAAUACCCUUUGGCUCAUAAUUCAACAGAACAGGGAAGAGGGAUAUGCUUUUGUUCAGUUAAUAAUAAUUACAUUCAAUACACUGAAUUUUCCUUUAGAGGUUAAAUUUUAAUAUCUACACUGUAAAUAUUUGGUUUGUUUGGCACUACUGUGAGUUCUGCUUUUACACAAAGCUCUUUGUGACAAACCAAAACGAAAACUGUAGUUUCCUAUGUGGGUUUUAAAAUUCAGGUGAUCUUUAAUUAAACUGCCAAAAUUUAAAGUGCAAUAUUGUAUAUUUUUAGGAACAAAUUUAAAAUAGAAUUUUGAUGUUUCUCAGAUCAGGAGAAAUACAAAUUGACAUAGAAAAAUAAAAUUAGCAAAAAGGUUAAUGCCUGUCAUUAUUUGAAAUUAAAAUUGGUAAUGGUUACAAUAGUCUUUACAAAUAUGUGG